rnacentral:rRNA from 1 species
UGGGGAAUAUUGGACAAUGGGGGGAACCCUGAUCCAGCCAUGCCGCGUGUGUGAAGAAGGCCUUAUGGUUGUAAAGCACUUUAAGCGAGGAGGAGGGUACUGGUAUUAAUACUACCAGCUACUGGACGUUACUCGCAGAAUAAGCACCGGCUAACUCUGUGCCAGCAGCCGCGGUAAUACAGAGGGUGCGAGCGUUAAUCGGAUUUACUGGGCGUAAAGCGUGCGUAGGCGGCUAAUUGAGUCGGAUGUGAAAUCCCCGAGCUUAACUUGGGAAUUGCAUUCGAUACUGGUCAGCUAGAGUAUGGGAGAGGAUGGUAGAAUUCCAGGUGUAGCGGUGAAAUGCGUAGAGAUCUGGAGGAAUACCGAUGGCGAAGGCAGCCAUCUGGCCUAAUACUGACGCUGAGGUACGAAAGCAUGGGGAGCAAACAGG